rnacentral:rRNA from 1 species
UACGUAGGGGGCAAGCGUUGUCCGGAUUUAUUGGGCGUAAAGCGCGUGUAGGCGGCCAGAUAGGUCUGCUGUGAAAACUCGAGGCUCAACCUCGAGCUGUCGGCGGAAACCAUCUGGCUAGAGUCCGGAAGAGGAGAGUGGAAUUCCAGGUGUAGCGGUGAAAUGCGUAGAUAUCUGGAGGAACACCGGGUGGCGAAGGCGGCAUCCUGGACCGACACUGACGCUGGG